GGACCGGUACAAAGUAUUCUGAAAUUUGAAACAUUAGAGGAAGUAGUAGAUCGUGAAAACGCUUCUAACUACGGGCUCACAGCUGGCAUAUUUACAACUUCUUUAGAUAAUGCUAUGCUGUUUAGCACACAUGUCGAUGCUGGAAUAGUUUGGGUCAACACUUAUUUAAAGUUCAAGCCCGAUGUUCCAUUUGGAGGAUUUUAGGACUCUGGCAUUGGGAGAGAAAACGGGACGAACGGCGUUGAUGUUUUGGAAGUUAAAACAGUUACAAUGGCAUUA